CGCGUAGGUGGUUUGAUAAGCGAGAUGUGAAAGCCCCGGGCUCAACCUGGGAACGGCAUUUCGAACUGUCAGGCUAGAGUAUGGUAGAGGAGUGUGGAAUUUCCUGUGUAGCGGUGAAAUGCGUAGAUAUAGGAAGGAACACCAGUGGCGAAGGCGGCACUCUGGACCAAUACUGACACUGAGGUGCGAAAGCGUGGGGAGCAAACA
rnacentral:rRNA from 1 species